rnacentral:RNase_P_RNA from 1 species
GAGAGUAGACGCAGGCGGUUGCAGAUCAGUCAUAGUCACUGGUUUGAGGAAAGUCCGGACUCCCGAAAGACCAAACUUGCUGGAUAACGUCCAGUGCGAGCGAUCGUGAGGAUAGUGCCACAGAAAGAUACCGCCAAGAAUAGGGAAUAGGGAAUAGGGAAUAGGGAAUAGGGAAAGCAAAACCCCACUCCCCACUCACCACUCCCCACUCCCCAAUCUUUGGUAAGGGUGCAAAGGUGCGGUAAGAGCGCACCAGCAGUAUCGAGAGGUGCUGGCUCGGUAAACCCCGGUUGGGAGCAAGGCGAUAGGAACUACGGUUGGUCUUUUACCAGUUCCGCUCAAUGAGAGCCGCUAGAGGCGUCUGGUAACAGGCGUCCCAGAUAGAUAACUGCCCUCGCAAGAGAACAGAACCCGGCUUAUGUACUGCUCUCUCCC